CCGGCGCGCUCGCCCUAACUUAACUCCGUAAGCUCGGGAGGGCAAAGUUCGCGACCGUACAUUAUGGAAUUGUGAAUUAUUUUUACAAUCAAUUUUAACUCGGACCAAUUUACGAGAGAUUAUCACGCUGCAUUGCGAGAGGAAUAACAAUAAACCGAUAUGAUGUACUGAAAUUGAAGCCUAAUGCUCACGCCUGUAAUCAAUGUAUAAAUAAAAUAAAAUGCAGAGGUACAGGAUGUGACCAGAAUUGAAGGAUGCAAUUAGUAAUGAUAAACUUCCUAAUAAUGUUCGAUGUGGUGUUUAUAUUCUUUUUGUUUUUAAUCGCGGUCACAUGCGUCAUGAAUUAUAUGCCGGGACGCAGUAAGAGGCAGGAGGUAACAGAGGAUGAAGUGGAUGACGUCAUCCCUCCACCCCCACCGUUCGCUGGAGAAGAUAUUGAGAGGCAAGCCUCAACAAGCAGAGAUACGUAUGUGGUUAUAUCACCUCCGAUCGACAAUCACAAAACCAAAGAUGGAUGUCCUAUUCAUGUGGUCUAGCGUAAGCACUGACGAAUCAACGUAGGAGUUUAUUGUAAAGAAGCCUUAUAAGAACGUAGUAUGAAAGAAAAUAAUAGUAGUCAUUUUAUACCAAUUAGUCGAAUUAAAAAGAUAAUCUUGUUGCAAGAAAAUUGAAACAUUUUGGGACACAAGUGUUAGUAAAAGAAAUGUUUAGUAUUUUCCGAGAAUCGAGGGUAACCAAGCAUAGUUCAGCAUUAGUUACAAUUCAUAAGAAAAUCCUUUUGUUUUGAAAAUAUUUAUAUAGAGGUAUUUACAUUACACGAACACACAAAUUCGGGAAUAGAAUGCAUUUGUUUGUUCGCGAAGCUUGGCGCAGCGUUAGUGUUUUAUUUUAUUAUAGUUUAGCUGCUUUGGAUCUUUGAUGUUAAUCUUAUAAUAUU